UGAGUGUCUUCCAAGACUACGAUCAGGCCAUCAGGGGUUUAGGGUUCUUCGCUUCAUCCGCUCACUGAAUAACUUGAGCAUUGAGCAUUGAGUUUUGAAGACGCUGAUUCCAUUUAACAUAUCCAAUUACAAUGGGCGCGUCAAAAUAUUUUUCGGAUUUGUGGCGGAGCAGACAGCUGUACGAUGUGGAGUUGUUAUCGAAUCUUAGGCACUGGCGGUACGCAACAACGCGAUCAUUAGUACAGCACACUCGACCUUUGCAGCCUGCUGAUAUUCCUCGGUUGGGGCAGGUGAAGAAGGAUAUACGAGGAGCGAAUGGAAUGGCUGUUCAAUUCAGUGGAUGGUUUGCUGGAACAUGUACAGCCAGUUUUCAGCCUCCAUAUCUGCCUAGGGUGAACCAUGAAAUGGACUCUAUCAGUUUUCCUUGUGUCAGAUCCAUUUCUUCGAGGGCAUCAAACAAACAAGGAGAAAAUACAAAUGAGACUAAAAAAGACAUAUCAACUGUUGAAGAUCCUUUUGAUGCUCCUACAUAUAAUAUUCCAGAGAAGCCAGUAACGUUUGUGGAGGGGGCGUCCUACAGUGUCGUCAUCCUUGUUGGUCUUGGAAUUGCGGCUGCUGCUGGAUAUGCUGUUUUCAAGGAGCUUAUAUUUGAACCCAAAGAGUACAAAAUCUUUAACACGGCUCUAGAGAGAAUUCAAAAUGACAGUCAGGUUAGAGUCAGAAUUGGAUCCCCAAUUACUGGCUAUGGUCAGGAGAGUAGAAAUCGAGCUGCUCGGCAACGAAUUCCCAACAAAGUUUGGACUGAUGAAGGUGGGGUCGAGCAUGUUGAGGUUAAUUUCUAUAUCCGGGGGCCCCAUGGAAGUGGGAAAGUUUUCUGUGAGAUGUUCAAAGACCAAGUGGACAAACGAUGGAAGUUUACAUACUUGAUUGUCGAGAUCAGAUCACCCUCUCCAGCACAAUUGAUUCUGGAGUCAUAUAUUCCUGCUUAAAAUGCAACCCAGAAGCAUUGUUGAGAAAAGGUUUCUUCCUUCUUACUGAUAACCCAGAUUCUUGCGUUCCGUGCAGGUGUUUGAUCUCUGGCCCCAUACUGGUGACUGCGUUUUGUGGCGGUCAUCGAUGUUUGUUGGCCAUUUCAGUCGGCCCAUGUUUCACGAGGGAUAAAAAUGAAAGAAGAGAAGGAAAAGGAAUUAAAGAAGUAAUAAAUGACAUGAGAAUCUGAAUCCACAAAUCUCAGGAUUGGUGGUUUUGUCUUUCGUUAAGGACUUCCAGGCUUUAAUAUUAGGAAUUUUUUCCUGGCAAGGGACCCGCAAGCAAUUAUUAAGGAUUAAAUCUGCUAGGCUUCAUCCCUGUAGUGACUGUGAUUUCUGCGGUGUGUUGGUGCUUUCAAUUUAUUGUAAUCUAUGGUAAAUUUGAUCUGGUAAAAGAAUGUGGCUUCCUCCAUUUUGUGUCGGAAGCAUUAAUCCGAUGUCAGAGUUGAUUGCCA